AGCCUUGGAGCCCACAGCUUGUUUCAUUUUGAAGGGAUCACUUGAAAUGAACCAACGGAAGGUUCCCAUAAUGAAAACUGAUAAUUUUUUCCAGGAGGACAUAGAACUGUGUAAGCAAAGCAGGCUUUGGAGAUGGGUUAAUUCAUAAGAAAAAACAGAUUUGUAUUUAAGCUACAUGUAUGAAGCACACAGCAAAAAGCAAAGAAUGCCAAGAGGCCUGAAUUCUGAAUUCUGUGUGUCUAUGGCUCUAGGAAAAGGACUGGACUGUGUGGGCUGUUGUGGGCUGCUUUUUAAAAAAAAAAAAAAAAAAAAAAAAAUGAUCUUCCUUUUUGAUUAUUUUCCCUGGAGAAGGAAGAGUUAAAAAAAAAGAAAUUGUGAUGGAUUCUUCCUCCUAGACAGGAAGAAAAGAGAACAUUUGAGAAGAGGGACCCACCAUCUACAAACUAUGCAUCAAUAGUCAACAGCACAAAAUGCCAAGGAAUCCCAGCGAAGUGAAAAAAGCUCUAUUUGUCACUUUAGUCAUUUGGUUUGAUUUUUCUCUGAAUGUCACUUAACCUCAGGCUCUGCACUGAGUCUGUAGAACAGAACUUCCUCUGCCAUGCACGCUGCCUGAUCAGUAUUACACACUACCGAUAGUGGAGAAGCAAACUGUGGUGGUUUCCUGAACGUUUUGAGAGUAAAAUAAUUACGUAAACUAUGGAAAGAAGCAAAAAAAGUCAGAAUUGUUAAACUCUAAUGUUUCAUUGUUUACUGAAUUUUGAGUCUCCCACCCCAGAAUUUCCCUAUUUACGACAUUCCAGACUGCCGCGCCUCUGUAUAAUACUCAUCGUAAAGAGCUGGUAUCUUACAAGAGCUGGGUGCAUUCUCCCCCCAAUACUAUCCCACUCCCCUUCUGGGAUUAGCUAUUAACAGCAAUGCCCAUUGCAGCAGACACAAGCACCUUGUAGAAGACAGACUGUAUUUCAUAAAGGUUUUUGAAAGUUUAAGAAACACUCUCACUUUUUUAAGCAUUUUUAUUUUAAAUUACAAAA
rnacentral:lncRNA from 1 species